AGGUGGGAGGCUUUGAAACCAGGACGCCAGUUUUGGCGGAGCCAUCCUUGGGAUACCACCCUUGUAGUACUGGGACUCUAACCAUAGGCCAUGAAUCUGGUCUUGGGACACUGUCAGGUGGGCAGUUUGACUGGGGCGGUCGCCUCCCAAAAGGUAACGGAGGCGCUCAAAGGUUCUCUCAGUACGGUCGGAAAUCGUACGUAGAGUGUAAAGGCAAAAGAGAGCUUGAUUGCAAGACAUACAGGUCGAGCAAGGAUGAAAAUCGGACUUAGUGAUCCGGUGGUUCUGCGUGGAAGGGCCAUCGCUCAACGGAUAAAAGCUACCCUGGGGAUAACAGGCUUAUCUCCCCCAAGAGUCCACAUCGACGGGGAGGUUUGGCACCUCGAUGUCGGCUCAUCACAUCCUGGGGCUGUAGUAGGUCCCAAGGGUUGGGCUGUUCGCCCAUUAAAGUGGUACGCGAGCUGGGUUCAGAACGUCGUGAGACAGUUCGGUCCCUAUCCGUCGCAGGCGUAGGAAAUUUGAGAAGACCUGUCCUUAGUACGAGAGGACCGGGAUGGACG
rnacentral:rRNA from 1 species